rnacentral:lncRNA from 1 species
UAAAAUUUGGUGAUAGGAGAUAAAGAGAAGUUGAAUUUGCGAAUUGGAGCUUUUGUUAAUCAUCUUAGUCUUCUCUGUAAACCCUAAUUUUCUUAAUUCCUCAAUUUGUGGUUAUUCCGUGUGGAUUACUCUUUUAUUAUUCUUGUUUUCAGGUUUAUUUUUGCUCUGAUAAAAAAAGAGAGCGCUUCGUGAAGGUAUCAACCUCUUUUUUUGUCCUCUUUUCACAUCGUCUUGGGUAAAAUCAAUAAUGCAUCAGAAGAUUGAUGAUCUGAUAUUGUUUAGUUACCUUACAUCAAAUCAAUAAUGGAUCAAACCUUUUUUCUGGACUAUGAUGAUCUGAUGUUAUGUAACUAAACAAUAUUCUCUGUAUUUAGUCAAUUAUGUGCUCUCUGCUUAUUUAAUUUGCUUUUGCUCUUGUUUGCUUCACUUCAUCCCCAAUAUGCAUUCUAUCUGUUAAAAUCUAUUUGUUUGAGCUAUUUUACCAAUAUGUUUUGUGGAAGUUGUGGUGUUCUAAUCAACUACCCUGCUUUAGAAUGUUGUGUUUUUUUUCCUUUUGCCAUUGUUUGUGUGAACUGCGGAAGCAAAACUUGGUCUUUGGUUGUGGUUUAAUGAUAGUAUAUGAAAGAAGUGGAUCUGGUGGUUUAAAAAUUACAAAUAAAUUAGAAAAGGGUUAAUUAGUUAAAUUAAUAGAGUAUGCACCCUACUUUGUAGAGUAGCUAAACUGAAUUGAUUUAAGUGUAGACUGCAGGCAAUGGCAAGCCCUUGACGAUGCCACAGAGGUUAGUGUUGAGGGGGAUGUUGUACUCGUCCCUUAGGGACUUCUCCGGUGAUAGAACGCUGACAUACAAUUGCUCACCGAGGUAUCUCCUCUCCCAGUUCUCAGCCCUGAU